rnacentral:rRNA from 1 species
UGUUGGCUUAGAAGCAGCCACCAUUUAAAGAGUGCGUAAUAGCUCACUAGUCGAGUGACCCUGCGCCGAAAAUGUACCGGGGCUAAAUAGUUUACCGAAGCUGUGGAGUGCACCGUAAGGUGCAUUGGUAGGAGAGCGUUCUAAGGGCGUUGAAGGUAGAUCGUGAGGACUACUGGAGCGCUUAGAAGUGAGAAUGCCGGUAUGAGUAGCGAAAGACAGGUGAGAAUCC